ensembl:ribozyme
UCUAUGUCACUGGGGGCCAUAGCAGAAGUGCUCAUAUCAUGGCCCCUAUCCGAUUCCAACAAAUCUGAGAAUUCUGCU